CCUACGGGUGGCAGCAGUCGAGAAUCAUUCACAAUGGGGGAAACCCUGAUGGUGCGACGCCGCGUGGGGGAAUGAAGGUCUUCGGAUUGUAAACCCCUGUCAUGUGGGAGCAAAUUAAAAAGAUAGUACCACAAGAGGAAGAGACGGCUAACUCUGUGCCAGCAGCCGCGGUAAUACAGAGGUCUCAAGCGUUGUUCGGAAUCACUGGGCGUAAAGCGGGCGUAGGCUGUUUCGUAAGUCGUGUGUGAAAGGCGCGGGCUCAACCCGCGGGCGGCACAUGAUACUGCGAGACUAGAGUGAUGGAGGGGGAACCGGAAUUCGCGGUGUAGCAGUGAAAUGCGUAGAUAUCGAGAGGAACACUCGUGGCGAAGGCGGGUUCCUGGACAUUAACUGACGCUGAGGCACGAAGGCCAGGGGAGCGAAAGGGAUUAGAUACCCCUGUAGUC
rnacentral:rRNA from 1 species